AGAGUUUGAUCCUGGCUCAGGAUGAACGCUGGCGGCGUGCUUAACACAUGCAAGUCGAACGAGAAUCAGUGGAACAAGGAUUCGUCUGAGGGAAGCUGAGGAAAGUGGCGGACGGGUGAGUAACGCGUGAGCAAUCUGCCUUGGAGUGGGGAAUAACGGCUGGAAACAGCCGCUAAUACCGCAUGAUGCAUCUGAGUCGCAUGGUUUGGAUGCCAAAGAUUUAUCGCUCUGAGAUGAGCUCGCGUCUGAUUAGCUAGUUGGCGGGGUAAUGGCCCACCAAGGCGACGAUCAGUAGCCGGACUGAGAGGUUGGCCGGCCACAUUGGGACUGAGACACGGCCCAGACUCCUACGGGAGGCAGCAGUGGGGAAUAUUGGGCAAUGGGCGCAAGCCUGACCCAGCAACGCCGCGUGAAGGAAGAAGGCUUUCGGGUUGUAAACUUCUUUUAUUCGGGACGAAGAAAGUGACGGUACCGAAUGAAUAAGCCACGGCUAACUACGUGCCAGCAGCCGCGGUAAUACGUAGGUGGCAAGCGUUAUCCGGAUUUAUUGGGUGUAAAGGGCGUGUAGGCGGGAAUGCAAGUCAAGAUGUGAAAACUCAGGGCUCAACCCUGACCCCUGCAUUUUGAAACUGUA
rnacentral:rRNA from 1 species